GGGGCCAUAGCUCAGCUGGGAGAGCGCCUGCAUGGCAUGCAGGAGGUCGCCGGUUCGAUCCCGGCUGGCUCCACCAC
rnacentral:tRNA from 1 species